rnacentral:rRNA from 1 species
GGGUUGUGAGGUUAAGCGACUAAGCGUACACGGUGGAUGCCCUGGCAGUCAGAGGCGAUGAAGGACGUGCUAAUCUGCGAUAAGCGCCGGUAAGGUGAUAUGAACCGUUAUAACCGGCGAUUUCCGAAUGGGGAAACCCAGUGUGACUCGUCACACUAUCAUUAACUGAAUCCAUAGGUUAAUGAGGCGAACCGGGGGAACUGAAACAUCUAAGUACCCCGAGGAAAAGAAAUCAACCGAGAUUCCCCCAGUAGCGGCGAGCGAACGGGGAGGAGCCCAGAGCCUGAAUCAGCAUGUGUGUUAGUGGAAGCGUCUGGAAAGGCGCGCGAUACAGGGUGACAGCCCCGUACACAAAAGCGCAUAUGCUGUGAGCUCGAUGAGUAGGGCGGGACACGUGGUAUCCUGUCUGAAUAUGGGGGGACCAUCCUCCAAGGCUAAAUACUCCUGACUGACCGAUAGUGAACCAGUACCGUGAGGGAAAGGCGAAAAGAACCCCGGCGAGGGGAGUGAAAAAGAACCUGAAACCGUGUACGUACAAGCAGUGGGAGCCCCACCACUAAGCCAGUGGUGAACUCCACAUACGCAUCCUUUGCUGAGGAUACGGUUAACGGAGCGAAAGCGACGUUCAACCUCAAAAGAAGCAGAGGGGGCUUAGUGGUGGGGUGACUGCGUACCUUUUGUA